AACCUUCGCAAUGCGCGAAAGCGUGACGAGGGAACCCCAAGUGCGCGCUUACAAAGCGUGCUUUUACGGAGUGUAAAAAGCUCCGAGAAUAAGGGCUGGGUAAGACUGGUGCCAGCCUCCGCGGUAACACCAGCAGCUCAAGUGGUGAUCACGUUUAUUGGGUUUAAAGGGUGCGUAGUCGGUUCAGCAAGUUUCCUGUGAAAUCCUGCAGCUUAACUGUAGGGAUUGCAGAAAAUACUACUGGGCUAGAGGCCGGGGUAGGCGUGGGGUAUUCUAGGGGUAGCGGUGAAAUGCUAUAAUCCCUGGAGGACCACCAGUAGCGAAGGCGCCACGCUGGAACGGGCCUGACGAUGAGGCACGAGAGCUAGGGGAGCGAACAGGAUUAGAUACCCUGGUAGUCCUAGCCGUAAACGAUGUGGGUUUAGUGUUUCCUGAACCUCGUGUUCAGGAAGUGCUGAAGGGAAACCGUUAAACCCACCACCUGGGAGUACGUCGCAAGGC
rnacentral:rRNA from 1 species